rnacentral:lncRNA from 1 species
GGAAAAAUAUUUUAUACUGAAAUAGAUUCUGGGUCAUAUGAAAUUAGGGUUAGAACAUGCUUGGGUGAUAUAUUAGGUUUUAAAAAUAUAAGAAAGCACACGGUAAUCGGGAGAGUUUAGAAAACAACCCUAACUCUAUAUUCAGAAAUUGAAACGGUGAGAGUUUGUGAGAGAGUGUAAGACCACAUCUUCUCUAAUGCAAGUCCGUGAGUGAAGCAAGGGAGCAUGGAGGGCUUUGAAACCAACCAUCAGA